UAGGACGCACAGUUUAUACCGUAGCUUGCUACACCAUAGACUGUGAGUUGCGAACGGGUGAGUAACGCGUAGGUAACCUGCCUAUUAGAGGGGGAUAACUAUUGGAAACGAUAGCUAAUACCGCAUAACAGUAUGUAACACAUGUUAGAUGCUUGAAAGAUGCAAUUGCAUCGCUAGUAGAUGGACCUGCGUUGUAUUAGCUAGUAGGUAGGGUAAUGGCCUACCUAGGCGACGAUACAUAGCCGACCUGAGAGGGUGAUCGGCCACACUGGGACUGAGACACGGCCCAGACUCCUACGGGAGGCAGCAGUAGGGAAUCUUCGGCAAUGGGGGGAACCCUGACCGAGCAACGCCGCGUGAGUGAAGAAGGUUUUCGGAUCGUAAAGCUCUGUUGUUAAGGAAGAACGAGUGUGAGAAUGGAAAGUUCAUACUGUGACGGUACUUAACCAGAAAGGGACGGCUAACUACGUGCCAGCAGCCGCGGUAAUACGUAGGUCCCGAGCGUUGUCCGGAUUUAUUGGGCGUAAAGCGAGCGCAGGCGGUUAGAAAAGUCUGAAGUGAAAGGCAGUGGCUCAACCAUUGUAGGCUUUGGAAACUGUUUAACUUGAGUGCAGAAGGGGAGAGUGGAAUUCCAUGUGUAGCGGUGAAAUGCGUAGAUAUAUGGAGGAACACCGGUGGCGAAAGCGGCUCUCUGGUCUGUAACUGACGCUGAGGCUCGAAAGCGUGGGGAGCGA
rnacentral:rRNA from 1 species